GUGGGGAAUUUUGGACAAUGGGCGCAAGCCUGAUCCAGCAAUGCCGCGUGCAGGAAGAAGGCCUUCGGGUUGUAAACUGCUUUUGUACGGAACGAAACGGUCCGGGUUAAUACCCUGGGCUAAUGACGGUACCGUAAGAAUAAGCACCGGCUAACUACGUGCCAGCAGCCGCGGUAAUACGUAGGGUGCAAGCGUUAAUCGGAAUUACUGGGCGUAAAGCGUGCGCAGGCGGUUUUGUAAGACAGGCGUGAAAUCCCCGGGCUCAACCUGGGAAUUGCGCUUGUGACUGCAGUGCUGGAGUGCGGCAGAGGGGGAUGGAAUUCCGCGUGUAGCAGUGAAAUGCGUAGAUAUGCGGAGGAACACCGAUGGCGAAGGCAAUCCCCUGGGCCUGCACUGACGCUCAUGCACGAAAGCGUGGGGAGCAAACAGGAUUAGAAACCCCUGUAGUCC
rnacentral:rRNA from 1 species